UACGUAGGUGGCGAGCGUUGUCCGGAUUUACUGGGUGUAAAGGGCGCGUAGGCGGAUUUGCAAGUCAGAUGUGAAAUACCGGGGCUUAACUCCGGAACUGCAUUUGAAACUGUAGACCUUGAGUGCCGGAGAGGAAAGCGGAAUUCCUAGUGUAGCGGUGAAAUGCGUAGAUAUUAGGAGGAACACCAGUGGCGAAGGCGGCUUUCUGGACGGUAACUGACGCUGAGGCGCGAAAGUGUGGGUAGCAAACAGG
rnacentral:rRNA from 1 species